UAGAUGAUCGAUAUUCAUACAAGGGCUGAAUAUCAUUUUGUUGAAGGAAGAUAGAAUGUAGCUUGAGUGUGCAGCGGAAAGGAUUAGGAAAACUCUUAAUGCAGUUGGUUGAGUGCCUUGGAUAUGAGAAUAGGAAAGGUGCUGUUAUAUUAUCUGGUCAUAAAAGAAAUGUGCUUUGCUAUGGAUUUUACAUAAGUAAGUUAAGUUGUUCUUGCUAGAUAAUGGUAUGAUAACCUCAUGCUUGCAUAUGUUGAUGACUGUGGUGGAGUUGCUAAGAAGAGAAGAUUGCCUGCCACCCUCGGGAAGCAUAGAGAAUUUGCAAAAUGAACUAGUUUCGGCUGCGAUGGAUACAGUUGAGCAUGAACCUGGCGUUGGAAAUUGAUGCGGAGGUUGAAAUGUGGAAAUGUUACUAACCACAAGCCCCAAAUGAUUUGAGAUCCAUUUUCUGAUUUUUUUGUGUUUAAGAAGACAAUAUUUUUUUCUUUUGUAGACUUGAAUUAAUGCUGAAUCAAAAGUGGCAGGUUGUUUAUUAGUACA